rnacentral:rRNA from 1 species
UGCAGUCGAACGGUGAACACGGAGCUUGCUCUGUGGGAUCAGUGGCGAACGGGUGAGUAACACGUGAGCAACCUGCCCCUGACUCUGGGAUAAGCGCUGGAAACGGCGUCUAAUACUGGAUACGAGUAGCGACCGCAUGGUCAGUUACUGGAAAGAUUUAUUGGUUGGGGAUGGGCUCGCGGCCUAUCAGCUUGUUGGUGAGGUAAUGGCUCACCAAGGCGUCGACGGGUAGCCGGCCUGAGAGGGUGACCGGCCACACUGGGACUGAGACACGGCCCAGACUCCUACGGGAGGCAGCAGUGGGGAAUAUUGCACAAUGGGCGCAAGCCUGAUGCAGCAACGCCGCGUGAGGGAUGACGGCCUUCGGGUUGUAAACCUCUUUUAGCAGGGAAGAAGCGAAAGUGACGGUACCUGCAGAAAAAGCGCCGGCUAACUACGUGCCAGCAGCCGCGGUAAUACGUAGGGCGCAAGCGUUAUCCGGAAUUAUUGGGCGUAAAGAGCUCGUAGGCGGUUUGUCGCGUCUGCUGUGAAAUCCGGAGGCUCAACCUCCGGCCUGCAGUGGGUACGGGCAGACUAGAGUGCGGUAGGGGAGAUUGGAAUUCCUGGUGUAGCGGUGGAAUGCGCAGAUAUCAGGAGGAACACCGAUGGCGAAGGCAGAUCUCUGGGCCGUAACUGACGCUGAGGAGCGAAAGGGUGGGGAGCAAACAGGCUUAGAUACCCUGGUAGUCCACCCCGUAAACGUUGGGAACUAGUUGUGGGGUCCAUUCCACGGAUUCCGUGACGCAGCUAACGCAUUAAGUUCCCCGCCUGGGGAGUACGGCCGCAAGGCUAAAACUCAAAGGAAUUGACGGGGACCCGCACAAGCGGCGGAGCAUGCGGAUU